UACGUAGGGCGCAAGCGUUGUCCGGAAUUAUUGGGCGUAAAGAGCUCGUAGGUGGCGGGUCACGUCGGGUGUGAAAGCCCGGGGCUUAACCCCGGGUCUGCAUUCGAUACGGGUCUGCUGGGGUCCGGCAGGGGAGACUGGAAUUCCUGGUGUAGCGGUGAAAUGCACAGAUAUCAGGAGGAACACCGGUGGCGAAGGCGGGUCUCUGGGCCGGUACCGACGCUGAGGAGCGAAAGCGUGGGGAGCGAACAGG
rnacentral:rRNA from 1 species